rnacentral:rRNA from 1 species
AGUGAACGCUGGCGGUAGGCCUAACACAUGCAAGUCGAACGGCAGCACAGUAAGAGCUUGCUCUUACGGGUGGCGAGUGGCGGACGGGUGAGGAAUACAUCGGAAUCUACUUUUUCGUGGGGGAUAACGUAGGGAAACUUACGCUAAUACCGCAUACGACCUACGGGUGAAAGCAGGGGAUCUUCGGACCUUGCGCGAUUGAAUGAGCCGAUGUCGGAUUAGCUAGUUGGCGGGGUAAAGGCCCACCAAGGCGACGAUCCGUAGCUGGUCUGAGAGGAUGAUCAGCCACACUGGAACUGAGACACGGUCCAGACUCCUACGGGACGCAGCAGUGGGGAAUAUUGGACAAUGGGCGCAAGCCUGAUCCAGCCAUACCGCGUGGGUGAAGGAGGCCUUCGGGUUGUAAAGCCCUUUUGUUGGGAAAGAAAAGCAGCAGGUUAAUACCCCGCUGUUCUGACGGUACCCAAAGAAUAAGCACCGGCUAACUUCGUG